CAAAUUUCAGUUGGCAAGUUUUGAAGCUGUGUUCAAUGAUAUUGAUGAUUCGAAGUUUGAUAACUUUUUCUCAUCUCUACUUGAAAUGGAAGACCUUAAGAAGAAGUUCAAAGAUGAUUGGGAUAAAAAAACUGAACCGCAAGGCAAAGCAAGGGUUGUUUGUG